UUGGAGAGUUUUUGCCGCAUUGAUUAGAGAAGGGAUUUGCCUGGAUCAUCGGCGUUUGUUGGAUCUGCGCUGAGCUGGAUUUGGUUCCGUGGUAAUUAGGGCGAAUUGUGGCUCUUGCUUUGGCCACUCCUGGGUUCUUGUCCUCUUGGAAGUUCGGUUGAGUUGCUGCUUUCUUGACGAGACCUGGGAUUGUUGCCGUGGAAUUUCCUUUGCGACAGAAUGUUAAAAGAUGAAAUGGCUACAUCUCGGCUAGAUGAUUCUUAUUUCUCAUCUUCAACCUCACAAUCCAAUCGAGACGGUUUAUUUUUGGCCAGGU